rnacentral:rRNA from 1 species
UACGGAGGGAGCUAGCGUUGCUCGGAAUCACUGGGCGUAAAGGGUGCGUAGGCGGGUCUUUAAGUCAGGGGUGAAAUCCUGGAGCUCAACUCCAGAACUGCCUUUGAUACUGAAGAUCUUGAGUUCGGGAGAGGUGAGUGGAACUGCGAGUGUAGAGGUGAAAUUCGUAGAUAUUCGCAAGAACACCAGUGGCGAAGGCGGCUCACUGGCCCGAUACUGACGCUGAUGCACGAAAGCGUGGGGAGCAAACAGG